GAUGAACGCUGGCGGCGUGCCUAAUACAUGCAAGUAGAACGCUGAAGCUUGGUGCUUGCCCCGAGCGGAUGAGUUGCGAACGGGUGAGUAACGCGUAGGUAACCUGCCUCUUAGCGGGGGAUAACUAUUGGAAACGAUAGCUAAUACCGCAUAAAAGUCGAUAUCGCAUGAUAUUGAUUUGAAAGGUGCAAAUGCAUCACUAAGAGAUGGACCUGCGUUGUAUUAGCUAGUUGGUGAGGUAACGGCUCACCAAGGCGACGAUACAUAGCCGACCUGAGAGGGGGAUCGGCCACACUGGGACUGAGACACGGCCCAGACUCCUACGGGAGGCAGCAGUAGGGAAUCUUCGGCAAUGGGGGCAACCCUGACCGAGCAACGCCGCGUGAGUGAAGAAGGGUUUCGGAUCGUAAAGCUCUGUUGUAAGAGAAGAACGAGUGUGAGAGUGGAAAGUUCACACUGUGACGGUAACUUACCAGAAAGGGACGGCUAACUACGUG
rnacentral:rRNA from 1 species